UGGGGAAUAUUGGACAAUGGGGGCAACCCUGAUCCAGCAAUGCCGCGUGUGUGAAGAAGGUCUUCGGAUUGUAAAGCACUUUCGACGGGGACGAUGAUGACGGUACCCGUAGAAGAAGCCCCGGCUAACUUCGUGCCAGCAGCCGCGGUAAUACGAAGGGGGCUAGCGUUGCUCGGAAUGACUGGGCGUAAAGGGCGUGCAGGCGGUUUACACAGUCAGAUGUGAAAAUCCCCGGGCUUAACCUGGGAGCUGCAUUUGAUACGUGUAGACUAGAGUGUGAGAGAGGGUUGUGGAAUUCCCAGUGUAGAGGUGAAAUUCGUAGAUAUUGGGAAGAACACCGGUGGCGAAGGCGGCAACCUGGCUCAUGACUGACGCUGAGGCGCGAAAGCGUGGGGAGCAAACAGGAUUAGAUACCCUGGUAGUCCACGCUGUAAACGAUGUGUGCUAGAUGUUGGGUAACUUUGUUAUUCAGUGUCGCAGUUAACGCGUUAAGCACACCGCCUGGGGAGUACGGCCGCAAGGUUGAAAAC
rnacentral:rRNA from 1 species